rnacentral:lncRNA from 1 species
UCAUAUAUAUACAUAACCAUAAAUCUGAUUCUAAAUAAAUUACAUAUAACUCAACAGCCUUAACUAUGGCCAUAUUUAUCUCUGUGGCAGGGCUAGAAUAGAAACAAUAAGCUCAAUCAGAGUGCUAACGCAUAACUUCCAUUGGUAGAGUUCAGAGAAUCAAUAUACAACCUCCAUUGGUAGGGUUUAGAGAACCAAUACAUAACCUCCAUUGGC